rnacentral:lncRNA from 1 species
AUUUUAAUAAAUUGGUUAAAAUAAAUACUAAAAAAAAUAUUGGUAGUCGUUUGUGUGUCCUCGUUAUACCUAUAAAACAGGUAACUUCACGGUUCAUCGGGGAAAGUGCAACAUGAUUAUCUCCCUUUGUUCCGGAAUGCUGGUGACGUCAUAUGUGUCCUCUCAUUAUGUAAACAAACAAGCAUGGCCGCGAAUAUGUGAACGACAAUACAACGAUACAACUAUGGACUAUCGAUUCACAGACGAUGAACGUGAACAGAUAUAUACAUUCCCAAGGUUAAACUAACUAUGUCAGUACAAUCAUACAUGUAAGUCAGAGCUAGAGGAUUACCGGUGCUGAAUCGGUAACUGGAUAAAGAAGCCAACAUUUUCUACAUCCGAUGGUGAAGAUGGAAACGAAAUAGAUCUUUAACAGCCUGUCGGCUUCAAACUCUCAUGGUGCGUAAAUUAGAUAGUAAAAUAAUGUAUUUCGGCAUACUUUUUGUGAGUCCGAGAUUACUCUGACAUCCAACGGCUGUUCUGUCAGACAUCGAGAGACAAGCUUGGGCCCUCGUCACGACCCCAGUUUGUCUGGCAAAACAGCCGUUGGACGUCAUAGUCAUCUCGGACAAAUUUUUGUAAUCAUAUAAUAUUGAUAUAAGUAGGUUGGUAAACACAGUUAAUGUACAUUGCGACCUUUAGCUGUUGAGGGAGGGGUUGGCAGGGAACAUGCGAAAUUGAGGGGGAGUAGGGAGAUGGAAUUGGAUGGGUUAGGGAAGAGGAAAAUUAUCAAAAGACUCCUGCUCAGCCCUCUUAAAUUAAAGUUGAGAUAAAAAGGAAAAAAGGGGGGGGGGGAGAUUUUGUUUGAGAUUGAAAAAGAAGGCCUGAAAUGGAAAUGUCUUCGAAUGAUACUAUCAAUUCUUCCCUCUCUGUAUCAUGUGUAUGAUAUACAUCAUUACAUGUACAAUGUAUUUAUUACAAUAUAGUGGGUAAUAUAAACAAAAGCAAUUGUGUGUGGUAAUUUGUACAGUGAAUCUACAUGUGUGCACUAUCUAUAAUACUAAAAUUACGAGGUCCAAUUUAUCAGCCGGCAUCAGGUAAAAACGACAUAUCAAAGAAUUCAACUUUAUAUAUAGCUAAUAUAGGACAAUUGUGUAGAUUAAAAAUUACACCACUCCAGACCCUUUUGUUUUCCACAUAAUUAAUAUUGCCAAUAAUUAACAAGUUCCGGGUCGAAUCCGGUACCGAUACCAAAAGUAUAUUCACCUGUUACCCAUUACCUUAUCUGUACGUUCCGCAUCUAACAUGAUGCACCAAAAUGGUGUAUUUGAUUUUACUAUAUACACGGGUCAUAAUCACAAAGUCGACACAACUAAAUUCAAUCAUUGUCAAAUUGUUCCCUAUCGUAGUUUUUUAAUUAGUAAAACUUUCUAAGAUAACAAUACGAAUACUAAAAAUUUGGACUAAGGCGUAUAGGUACAGUUUUCAAUUUGUUAGCGGGCAUGACGCAAAACAUCGAAUCAAAGAUUUGAACUUUAUUGGACAAUGCUGUUGAUUAAAAAAUACUCAAUUCCAGGACCUGAAUAUUACCAAAAAUUGAAAAGUUCCAGGUCGACGGGUUCAAACAGAAAGAUUUGAAAGCAGAGAAAACUUUGUAUCUUAUAAUCGGCACGACUUUAUCAGAUGACAAUACCAAUACUAAAAUAAGGCUUACGCAUAGUUAUAUACUUUAAUUCAGUCACGGACCCGCGAUAUCACGGUGUGUUCUAGUAUAUUAUAUAUAUGUAGACAAUUUUUGUCAUGAGUUAUUGAACACCUCUGAAUAAAUUAUAUUUAUAGUCACUAGUCAGUCCUAAUUUUAAACAAAUUUGCACAUUUAGAGUACUUUAAUACAUGAGUUGGUGAAAUAUCUUCAUACAUGUACAUUUGUGUAUGUCUCUGGUGUGAUGUACUUGUAUAUAUAUAUCAACACAUGGGGAGGGUGGGUGCAUGUUUGAUCAUGUUGAUUGUUUAAAUUAAUUUUAACUGUUUAAGUUGUGAAUGGAAUAAAUUAAGAAAAUAUAUUUCUCUCUUAUUUUAAAUUCAAUACAUGAUGAUUGAUCAACAUAUAUGGCAAACUUGCUACAGUAAGAGACUGUUGCAUUUUUGCUUAUUAAUUUGCUUGAACAGAGCGAUUCUCUCUAUAAACUCCAUCUCAUAAAUAUCAAAGUAUUUAGAAAACUUGUUAAGGAAAGUCAUGGCUUUGUUUGUAAUCAAUUGCACUUUGUAACAGUAUUACAUUUGUAAUACACAUGACACAUGUACAUUGUACAUGAUAAACAUGAUAAAGCCCAAGUUAAUUGGGUUAAGCUCUUGUAGAGUUGAUAUACUUAUAUCCCUUUUGAUUGAUUGAUUUUGUCCAACCCAAACAAUACCUUCUUGUGCAUGUUAUAUUAUGAAUACAUUGUACAUGGGUGAAUACCUUCAAGAACUAAUCCAUUUAAUCCAAAUCAUAUGAUUCAUGAGUAAGUAUAUUGUCACAUUGCUUAAUUAUGCCAGUAGCAAGUAACCCCUCAUUAUACACUAACUUGUACUACUUAAAUGACUAUAUUCUUUUAUUUUGCCAACACAAACCUGUCAAUUACCCUGUAUGGAAUCUAGUUUUCUGGAAAGUUCCCAUUUCUUGGUCUCCUAAUGACAAACUGUUGUAUUGUUAAUAUUUAAAGACAAGAAGUUAUAUUUCUGUGAUUAGGUUUUUAACAUACAAAUUCAAUUACAAACAAUGAAUAUCACUUGCAUUUAUUUGUGACUGGCACAGAGACUGAUGCAUACAGAGCAAUUCAUGUUCAGUUUUCAUAGAUUUUUAUACCAGCAGCUAUUUCAGAAGCACCAGUAAAUGUAAAUUUUGUAUAUAAUUUCUGUGCCAUUUGGCCUCUUGUGUAUUGUUGUCUCAUUGACACCCAUUCCACUACUUCCCUACUCGAGCUAUAAUAAGAUUACAGUUGAUAAUUAAAGUAAGAUUUUGUACUUGAUUUUUAAAUCCUUAUCAAGUUUCAAAAGAGUAAAUAAACAGCCAUAUGAUUUUUACUACUAAAUAUGUAUGAAUAUACAACCAAACAAAAAUAACUAAGACACUUUGUAUAAUUUCAUUUUUAAAAUAAGUUUUCACAUGUCUCACUGAAUAGUUUUUUUGUUUUCAGAAAUAACAGAUAUUUGUCACAAAGAAGAUUUACCAUGUACUAGGAGAAAUAUAUGAGUUGUGUUGCCAUCAGGUGUUGUUUGCAAAAUAAGGGAACAGUUCCAAGUUGAACAAUUAACAAACUUUAAAUAGCCCUAAUGACCACACAAAGAGUCAAAUUAUAUUAACUAUAUUGAUAAUAAAAUUUUAUCACAUUUAUUCAUUGUUUAAUUUAUUUAUAAGUGGUCUCCUUUUCUUGUCUGUUUGCCUGAUUUGCUAGUAGAGGUGGCUCAGCCAGUCUUUUAUCAACUGCUGCUACAAAUGUAUAUCUAAGCCACUUUUGUAUGAAGGAUACUUCCAUAAGUUCAUGCACAUUACCUUUAAAAAUAAAUUGAAAAAACAAUUUGAUUUGCAUAGGAACAACAUAGCUUGAAUCUUUCAGCAUGGUUAAUAAUUAUGGACAACUUUCAUUGGAUGCCAGACUCCUAAUGGAUUUGUUUAAAUGAUAACACCAUAAUAUGUACUUUCUGCAUCAUUUAGUCUCUGGUGGAGAGAUGUCUCAUUGGAAAUCAUAUCUCAUCUUCUUAUUUCUAUAUGUGUUAAUUAAUCAGUUUCAAAUUAAUGUGACUGACUAGAAAACAUAAUGCCCAUCUACUACUGUCAUAGACAUGUGAACAAAA